rnacentral:tRNA from 55 species
CGGGAUGUGGCGCAGCUUGGUAGCGCAUCCGCUUUGGGAGCGGAGGGUCGCAGGUUCAAAUCCUGUCAUCCCGACCA